rnacentral:lncRNA from 1 species
UUGUUGCAAAUUUACUAGCCCAAGCUAAUGCUAAGUUCUCAUUCUCUUUUUUUCCAGUAAAAUAGUUUAUUACAAACAUAAUCAAGAAAGAAACACAAACAAUCUCAACAGUAUAGGAAGAUAUGGAUUUCGGGAUUUCAGGCUCGGGCUCUGGUUCAGAUUUCAAAUUAGGAUCGGAAUCGGAAGAAGUGGGAGUGGCAGUGACAGAUUCAGUAAUUAAAGGGGAAGCAGAGGUUAAAGAUUGAGGAAUACCUUCGAAUUCAUCCUCAUCCCAGUAGUCAAAGGAUGUUGAAGCUGGUUUUGGAUCGGACGGCUGAGAUGUAACGGGAGGGGCUGGAUCAGGAGGGCCGUGGUGGGAUUCAACAGGGUCGGAGACGGAGAGAGUAGUGGUAAGGGGAGGUGGUGGGGUGGAGGAGAUGAUUGGGUCGAUGGGUUCAGCGAAGUCAUCGACUUCAUCGGCGUCGAAACCCUCGAAGUGGCGGUUCUCGGCGGCGGAGACGGGGGAGAGGUGGUGGAGGAGGAGGGAAAGGAUGGAGAAAAGGGCAAUAAGGUAAAAGAGAGUGUCGCCUCUAGGGAGGAAGAAG